AAKAUUGAACUCCGCUGGAUUGGGUGUAUAGUUGUUAACUAAAAUAUUACGGGAUCGAGGCCCGUCGGUCUUUG
rnacentral:tRNA from 1 species